UACGGAGGGUGCGAGCGGUACUCGGAAUUACUGGGCGUAAAGCGCGUGUAGGUGGUCUUGUAAGUCUGGUGUGAAAUCCCGGGGCUCAACUCCGGAAGUGCAUUGGAUACUGUAAGACUAGAGUGCAGGAGAGGAUGGCGGAAUUCCAGGUGUAGAGGUGAAAUUCGUAGAUAUCUGGAGGAACAUCGGAGGCGAAGGCGGCCAUCUGGACUGCAACUGACACUGAGACGCGAAAGCGUGGGGAGCAAACAGG
rnacentral:rRNA from 1 species